UUAACAUCGGUUUUUUUAUGCAGAGAGCCAGAGAGAGACAUGGACGUGCACGUGGCUUAUCUUCUGUUGGCCUUCUUGGCGUCCAUCCUUACAUAUAUAGAGGGACCUUUUAAAGCAGGUUAUUAAAUUGGCUCACCUGCUUCCUUUCUAACCAAGGUACUUUCUGUCACCACUUCCAUUCCUCUAUCAUCACCAUUUUCAUUGCAUCACUUCCCAUGCUUCUCUGCUUGCCUCAAUUUCAUUUCUUUACUCUACCCCAAGAAAAGUAAAACUCCCUAGAUCUUUGUUUUUGUGCCUAUUAAUUAAGAGUUUUAUUUGUUUUUCCAUGUUUCUGUAUGCAAAUGUGUUCACAAUUUAGAAACUUUCUUCAAUUUCAGUGAUACCUGCAGCCAGUUGAAAAAUGCUGCUACUUGGUGAUGAUUGUGAUUUUGUGUUUCUUACCGUGAAAACUCCAAGAAUCAGUUCUAGUAAAGCAGCAAGGGGACCAUAUAAACCCUCUUUCAAUUCGAUAUAGCAUCAAUAAUGCCAAACGGUUAGAUCCAUUUAUCAACAUUUUGUACAAUGAGCAUGAGAAGAUUUUAUCAAUUUUGUGUCUCUCAUGCUCUUUUGCUCUUGAUUUCUUGCUUUCUUGGAUUCACCUCUACUGUUUCACCAGCUACUGAGGGGGAGAUCUUGCUGCAAUUCAAGGCAAGCAUCACCAGUGACCCCUACAACAAAUUGGAUACCUGGCUUCCUAAUGCCAAUCCUUGUAACUACAGUGGUGUGUUCUGCAAUUCGCUGGGAUUUGUAGAGAGAAUUGUUUUGUGGAAGACAAACCUAUCUGGGUCUUUGUCACCGGCAUUAUCAGGUUUGAAAUCUUUGAGAAUCUUGACAUUAUUUGGCAAUCGAUUUAUGGGUAAUAUCCCACAAGAAUAUGCCGAGUUAAGCACACUGUGGAAGAUAAAUUUGAGUUCUAAUGCCUUAUCUGGGUCAAUCCCAGAAUUCGUCGGUGACUUGCCAAAUAUUAGGUUUCUUGAUUUGUCUAGGAAUGCUUAUAGUGGAGAGAUACCAUCGGCCUUGUUCAAGUUUUGUUACAAGACCAAGUUUGUUUCUCUUUCUCAUAACAGUCUUUCUGGUCCAAUUCCGGUUUCAAUAGUGAAUUGUACUAAGCUUGAAGGGUUUGAUUUCUCUUUCAACAAUCUCAGUGGUGAAUUGCCUUCUCAAAUUUGUGAUAUUCCUGUGUUAAAGUAUCUGUCUUUGAGGAGCAAUGUGUUAACUGGGAGUGUGCAGGAGGAGAUUUCAAGAUGCCAGAGAUUGAGUAUUUUGGAUCUUGGCAGCAACAUGUUUGCCGGGUUGGCACCAUUUGUAGUUCUUGGAUUUCAAAACAUGAGUUAUUUCAAUGUAUCGCACAAUGGUUUUCAUGGAGAGAUUCCUGAGAUCGGAACCUGCAGCGAGGGAUUGGAAGUCUUUGAUGCUUCAGGUAAUGAUUUGGAUGGAGAGAUCCCAUUGAGCAUUACAAACUGCAAAAGCCUUAAAUUUCUCAACUUGGGGUUUAACAGGCUGCAUGGGAGUAUUCCAGUUGGGAUUGCUAAACUGGAGAUGCUUAGGGUGCUUAAUUUGGGCAAUAAUUCGAUUGAUGGGAGGAUCCCUGCAGGGUUUGGAGCCAUUGAGUGGCUUCUGGUCUUGGAUUUGCACGAUCUUCACCUUAAAGGCGAAAUUCCUAAAGAUAUAAGCAAUUGCAAGUUUCUUCGUGAGCUGUGAGUCUAAUCACUGUCUUGUAAUGUUUUAGAUUUUAUCAGCAUUCUUUUGAUCCAAAACUUACAAUUAUGUUGAUGCAGGGAUCUUUCUGGUAAUGAUUUAGAUGGAGAAAUUCCCAAUACCCUAUACAAUAUGUCUGACUUAGAAGUUAUUGACCUACAUCAAAACCAACUCAAUGGCAGCAUACCAGAGAGUCUAGGAAACCUCUCAAAACUCCUAGUUCUUAACCUCUCACAAAAUAUUUUUUCAGGGGCAAUCCCAUAUUCCCUUGGAAAUUUGACAAACUUAACAUAUUUUAAUCUCUCCUCCAACAACCUUUCUGGUCCCAUUCCUUUGACACCAAAAAUCCAGGCUUUUGGUCCAUCUGCAUUCCUGAAUAAUUCUGGGCUCUGUGGUCCUCCUUUGGAUAUUUCUUGCUCUGGCAAUGGCACAAGUCCAAGAUCCAAGAAAAACAAGAUUCUCAGCAAUUCUGCAAUUGUGGCAAUUGUUGCUGCUGCAUUGAUCGUUUCUGGGGUUUGUGUGGUAUCAAUCAUGAACAUUAGAGCACGAGGUAGGAAAACGGAGGAUGAAACAAUGGUUGUUGAGAGCACACCAAUGGGUUCGACAGAUUCCACUGUUAUAAUUGGGAAGUUAGUUCUGUUCAGCAAGACUUUACCCUCAAAAUAUGAAGAUUGGGAAGCUGGUACCAAAGCUUUGCUUGACAAGGAAUGCUUGAUUGGUAGUGGGUCAAUUGGAACAGUUUAUAGAACUAACUUUGAAGGUGGGAUCUCAAUUGCAGUGAAGAAGCUUGAGACUCUAGGUAGAAUCAGAAGCCAGGAUGAAUUUGAGCAAGAGAUUGGACGAUUAGGUAACCUUCCACAUCCGAAUUUGGUUGCUUUUCAAGGUUAUUACUGGUCUUCAACAAUGCAGCUAAUUUUAUAUGAAUUUUUUCCAAAUGGUAACCUAUAUGAUAAUCUACAUGGACUUGAUUAUCCAGGCACCAGUACUGGUGUUGGUAAUAGGGAAUUGUACUGGUCUAGGAGGUUUCAGAUUGCUCUUGGAACAGCCAGAGCGCUUUCUUUCCUUCACCAUGAUUGUAGGCCUCCAAUACUCCAUCUCAACAUCAAAUCUACUAACAUACUCUUAGAUGAAAAUUAUGAAGCCAAGUUGUCUGAUUAUGGGUUGGGGAAGCUGCUACCCAUUUUGGACAACUAUGGUUUAACCAAAUUCCAUAAUGCUGUAGGGUAUGUUGCACCAGAGUUAGCUCAAAGUCUAAGAUUGAGUGAGAAAUGUGACGUGUACAGCUUUGGAGUUAUUCUUUUGGAGCUGGUUACUGGGAGGAAACCAGUAGAGAGUCCAUCAGCAAAUGAGGUAGUUGUUUUGUGUGAAUAUGUUCGUAGUUUGUUGGGGACUGGCUCAGCUUCAGAUUGCUUUGAUAGAAAUUUACGAGGUUUUUCAGAGAAUGAGUUGAUUCAGGUUAUGAAAUUAGGAUUGAUUUGUACAUCUGAGGUUCCUUCAAGAAGACCAAGCAUGGCUGAGGCUGUUCAAGUCCUUGAGUCCAUAAGAUCCGGAGUGGAAUCAUCAUAGUCAGCAUCAAAGUGCUUUUGAGGGUUUUCUUGGGCCAUCUUGGGGUUCAAUUAACCAUGUCAAAUUAGCCUAGUGGGAAGGUUGUGUGAGUUAGCUGUGCAGAGACAAUGUUGUUGCAUAUUAGGGGGAAAAAUAGAAAAUCAUUCUUUUCUAUUCAUUUUUUGGAAUUAAUAUUAUUAAAUUGUUCAUGACAUUUGUAACAUUUUUCAAUAAAAUCAUUCAUUUAAUGUAUUUCACAUGCUGACUCGUACAAAAUAACUAAAUUAACUGAAGUUUUUGUAGUUUCUUCAUCUAAUAUAGGGUGAAAUCUAUAGGGUAGCUAAAUUUGGAUAGCAUGAACAGCUAUUAGUGGAAGGUUUAAGGAACUGCAGUGACUCCAUUUGAACCAAUGAUGAGUACUCUGCUCAAACUCCUUUUAAAGAGAAAGAAAAGGCCUAGCUGAACAUCUCCAUUCCCAUCCUCAAAUCCAAUGCUAGUGGUAUUGUUAGCUUAUCAAGAAUAUAUGAAGAGAAAGAGUAGCCGCGUAUGGAGUCAACAUGCCGCUGCACCCUUCUACCGGCAUUGGCACAUAUUCCCCUUGUGAUUGUCAUUAAUGAAGUUGGCAUAUGACACAGGAUUCUCUUUUUCUUUCUGUUUUUAUUUAUUUAUUUAUUUUAUCAAUAUCAACCACCCGAUUCUGUUUGUGGCCAGCUUUAUAUUCUAUUGUGGCCACUUCUUUCUUUCCAAAAUAUGAACUUGGCUCGAUGGCGAUGGAUAAUUCCUUCUCCUUCUAGUCCCUGUACUUUUCUUUUUCUCUUUUUGGAUUCAAGGUAUUAAGGCUUCUGGGAAUAGUCCAGAAGAGGCAGAGCUGGCCUGUAUCUAAUGCACAUGUUGAUCCAAUGCCAGAUACAGAAUUAGAAAUUAAACUUAAACCAGAUAAUAUUACUAGGAAAACGUAAAAAGCAGCAAAUUCUGCAGUAAAAUUCAGAUAAAACACCCUUAAUGGUAAGAAUCCACUUCUGGGAUCCAAUUACGAGAAUAGGCUUACUUAAGAAGAUGAUACAGAUUAAAGAUACUAAAUUGCUAAUCCUACGUUUGAAACUACUGCUCCAAGCACAAUAUCUUAGGCAGAGACAUUAAGACGGUGUAGUUUAAUUAAUUACCUAUAAAAUCCUGCAAACUACAUUUAAUCAGCCCUUCUGCAAUAACUUGAGAAUGGCCACAGCAACAUCACAGAGAUUGCUCAAAAGCUUGUUCCUUUCAGUUAACGGGGACUGACUUGAGCCAGAGAAGUUCUUUUCACAGUCCUGAGCUUGUUUGCCAGCAUCAGAUAAUAAGUAGCUGGUGAAUCCAAACCGACCUCUCAUCAAAGCGUUGAUAGCUUGAGGAAGAUUGUACUUAACAACUGGAAUAUACAAUUCAGCACAAUCGGCCAAAGGUUUCUGGAGCUGCGGGUCUGCUCCUUGCUUGAUUAGCUCUUGAAUAUAGCUCAACGUAUCAGUUGCAUUGGACAGAACAAGAUUAGUCAUUGCAGAGGCCAGAGCUUUGACAUCUGUGAUGGGAUUUUGAGGGUUUAGAGACGAGAGACAGAGGUCAUAAAAGGGUGUUUUCUUGCAUAUUUGGUUGACGAGAUCAGAACAUUGGAAUACUGAUAGGGAAGUAGAAAGGAGAAGAAUGUAUAGAAGAAUGAUGGGUGGUGAAGCAAUAGAGGCUUUCAUUUUUUGCAGAAGCAGAGAUGAGGAGAAGAGGGAAGGAAAGAUUGGUUAGUUGGUGGUUAAGGAAGUGAAGCUUUUGUUGGCAACUCGGAAUGCCUUAGCAAAGCAUAUUAAUACAAGUGACACGAACCCAAGUAAUGUACAAAAUCUGUGGGUGGUUUCUGUUACCAACCUUUGGUAGUUUGAAAAAAGAAUUGUAUUCACAUUUAUGGGUUAGUUUUCUUGUGUUUC
rnacentral:misc_RNA from 1 species